AUACUAAAAUUGGAUCGAUACAGAGAAGAUUAGCAUGGCCCCUGCGAAAGGAUGACACGCAAAUCCGUGAAGCGCUCCUUAUUUUC
rnacentral:snRNA from 8 species